UUGAUGUUUGUCAUUUUUAUUUGCAAUACUUUAGGUCCAAGUUUCAAACUGCAAUAUUUUUACACUCAAGACACAGUCAUGCACAAUCCAUAUUUCAAUUUUCUAUUGCUUCAACCACAAUUUAAAAUAACAAUAUUGAAAACAAAAAUCCUUAAAAAGAUUGGAUGCUGAGGUCAGAAGGAUGGAACCAUACCAUCAGCAGGUCGACAAAAGAAAUAACUUACUUAAAAAUCAAACAAACAAAAAGACCAUAAAUACCUUUAAUCCAAAGUUACAGAAGAAUUUCACUACACAUGGUUUACAGAUAACACAUUUUGACAAAAGUAAUGCUCAGCCAAUUGAGAUACAAUUCUGAUAAACAAUGAAAAUGUGGAUCCUUCUCAACUUGUUUUGUGUAGAUGUUAUGAGUAUCAUCCCAGUAGACAUCACUACCCUGUGAUCUGGUUCCUCUUGGCUGAUGUACUGAGAUUAAAAACUCAAUGCAUUAGUAGUUACAGGAUUCUGUGAAGAUCUUAUCAUCAAUAAUGAAUAUAGUAUUUGCGGGUCCAUAAAGCACACCACACACAAGAACACACAUUGAACUCGAAUUUUGCACUCAGGGCUGGUUGGCACUCUGCUGUAGGCAGGGAAUUGGGACCAUCCACUAACUAACUCCCAGUUUACCCUCUUUCCAGCAGUGUACUCAUCAUACAACUGGCCAAUCACUGUGGGAGUUGUCAUCAGAAAUGCUAUCUUUGGUUCCCAACAAAUGAAUUUGUCAACACUUCUGAAUGCUAAUAGCAUGUAAUUACUUUUUCAUUUCUCUCUGCAACUUGUAAAUGUUUAGGUUCACUCUUAAUAGUCUCAGCCAUUGAAAUGCAUGGGCUCUGCUAUCUUGUGCCACUUGAGAAUUGAACUCUAGAAAGCCCAGCACUACUUCACAGGAAAGGAGAAGCCCAAGCACAGUUAUAUUCUAGCAAGUGUGACAGUGUGUUUCUGUUUUAGCAGCAAAUACUGGUCACAGCUUAAGGAAAACCAGACUUUACAUACAGACUGUAUGGAAAAUGAAAACUGGGAACAGUCAACAGAAAAUGGACAUUAGAACAAAAACAAAAUGAAACAACUGUAAACGAAUUGGAAGACUGCCACAAAUUUUAUCAACAUCCCCU
rnacentral:lncRNA from 1 species